AACUGACAAUCGGAGAGCACCGAUCACUACUUGUACCGAAGAAAACUUCACUCAGUUCUGAAGAAGCUCAGCGAGAGAGAGAGAGAGAGAUGGAGACGAAGCCGAAUGAGAUCAGCCGCUCGAAGAUGUUCGGAGGGUACAACAAGAGGUACAAGCAUUUCAGCCUUACGCUCGGCUGCUCCAUGACCUUCCACAUCUACUUUCCUCCUUCUCCUUCCCUUUCCCACCGAUUCCCUGUACUUUACUGGCUCUCUGGCCUUACCUGCACAGAUGAGAAUUUUAUAACUAAAUCAGGAGCUCAAUGUGUUGCCUCAAGUGAGGGUGUUGCUCUGAUUGCCCCUGAUACAUCUCCAAGAGGCUUGUCUAUAGAAGGAGAGGCGGAUAGCUGGGAUUUUGGUGUAGGUGCUAGAUUUUAUCUCAACGCUACUCAAGAGAAAUGGAAGAACUGGCGCAUGUACGACUAUGUUGUCAAGGAGUUGCCACAGCUUCUGAAUGAAAUUUUUUCACAGCUUGAUACAUCGCGGGCAUCUAUAUCUGGUCAUUCUAUGGGUGGGCACGGUGCUUUGACAAUUUACCUGAAAAACCUGGAUAAAUAUAAGUCGGUAUCUGCCUUUGCACCCAUUGUGAAUCCUGCAAACUGUCCAUGGGGCCAGAAAGCUUUCUCAAAUUAUCUAGGUGGUAAUAAAACCGAUUGGGAAGAAUAUGAUGCCACUUCCCUUGUUAAGAAGUUUAAUGAUGUGUCAGCUACCAUUUUAAUUGAUCAAGACAAUUGAAGUUGGAGCUGAACGAUUCCAGAUCCCUGAAAUUCCUUUUAGCCCAUCCAUGGUUCAGGAGAUUGAUGGUAUCGAGAAUGCUAAGAAUAUUGCUAGUCAUGCUGGUUUAACUGAAAUGGUUAUAAACUGCAUUAACAAGUGUGAGGGGUGUCAUCAUGCUGAACUUUAUAGCAAUAUACUGGUAAAAUGCAUGAAACCACUUUUUUUUUCUCCCAAGUAAUUAACCAAAAAAACAAUAGCAUAAAUCAAUUUAUUAUAUAGACAACAAGAUGUAAAUGAGUAUCUUUUGCUGACCUAAGGCCCCGUUUGGGGUUUGCUGUGCUUUUAGAAUAAGCUGUUUAUUUUGAGGACCUAAAGUGUUUGGUCGUUGAAGAUGUAGAAGUUGUGGGUCAAAACAGGGGAAAGAGUGCUUCUAAAAAAAUGAUUUGAACAGAAGCGGAGCCGUUUAAUUAAAUAUGUAUGUAUUGUCCUCGCUUGUUUUCAGAAAUGACGUGAAUUACCCUGCACAGUUUUCACCCUCGGUGAAAACUAGUUUCAAAGGAAAAUGCUUGGGUACUCACUAGUAAGUACUCAUCUUUUGGUUUUGUCAAAUACUAUUUUAACACUUGCUUUAUUGUUUAAAAAAAUAAUGAACAUGUUAUUUAAUUUUUCUUAGACUUAAAAACAAGAAACACGUGCCUUUUUUUAUUGGGCCAAAUAGAAAAGUGAGUACAUAGAGUACUCAUUAGUGACUACUGUAUUAUCUGGUUUCAAAUAUUGAACCUUGAGGUGUUGAUUGACAAGUGUGGCAAGAGAAAGUGUGGGGCAUCCAAUAUGGAGUUGUGAAACUUUACUUCACAGCUCAUUAUUCUUUUUUAUUUUUUCUUUUUAAGCUCAACAAUAUCAUAUGCUAGGCUUAGUGUUGCAAAUUAUAAUGGGCAUAUAAUAUGCAGACUUCCUAUUCGCAAUAAAAGUGCAUUCUCUCUAUGGGAUUCCUUGUCCUGCUUCAGGAACUAAUUUGGUUUCUUGUGUUUUUAUAUUAUACAGCUUACUUGAGGCACAACUUCAGUGCCACAGUUGAAGGAGCGUCUUCAGAAAGAUGUGUAGGAGGUAUGGCUUUUCAAAGAAGCACUGUAAUGGCUUUUGAUCUUUUAUAGGUUUUUCCCCACCAAUGUUUGAUUCUCGCUCCCUUAAUCAGUGACAGAUUGAGAGGAUUAAAAUAGGUGAAUUCUGUAAAGGGGGAAGUUAUUGCCCAUUCCCUAAAUUUCAAUUGACACUCCUUUUUAUUAUACUUUUUUAUGCACAGAAACUUUUGAAUAAUUUUGAGUGGAAGUAGUUAGAUUGAUAAAAUUUUGGGGAGUGCCAGUUUACAUUCUAAAAUUAUUCGUACUCAGUCUUGUAUGAGCCACUUUGACUCUUGGAGCAAAUUUUGGUGAUGUGGCUCUACAUAUUUAGUUGGAAAGUGGAUUUGUGGAGUUUGUUGGAGAUGCUCUUAUUGUAUGGAUGAAGCAUCAAAGUGUCAUCUUCUAUUUGCAGAGGUCUUCUUCCCAUCAAGUUAACGUAUUAACGAGACCGAGUAAAAGUAUGCAGUGUUUCUAGUUCUUCACUCUCUUUGUACAUGCUACAACAGAUAAAUUGUGUUCUAAUUUAUGUAGUAAACCUUCAUGCUGUAAUAAUAGUGGUAUUAUGAAAUUUAAUGUACGGAAAUACUUCCAUGCAAUUUGUCUUCCCUGCCUUGUUAUUUAUGCAGUGUUUGGGUAGGUGGUAGUCUAUUGGCAUGUCUUGGUUCAUUCCAGCGCAUGUGGUUAACCAAUGAGUAAGUGUCAUAUUUUAGUGUGUGCUUGCACUUUGACUAGUAUUGGAGUUACACAUCCUUAUUCUAUGAACGUUUAAGCCAUCAUGACAUGUGUGGCAGUUACCUAAUCAUAUUGUUGGAAAGCGUUACCUAAUCAUAUUUGGUAUCAUGUAAAUGUUAUUGAUAUAUUUGAAGACUAUGGGUAUGU